GCGCCUAUAGCUCAGUUGGUAGAGCAGUUGUCUCUUAAGCAAACGGUCCCAGGUUCGAGUCCUGGUGGGCGCACUA
rnacentral:tRNA from 3 species